rnacentral:misc_RNA from 1 species
GAUGAAGAACGUAGCGAAAUGCGAUACGUAAUGUGAAUUGCAGAAUUCAGUGAAUCAUCGAGUCUUUGAACGCACAUUGCGCCCCCUGGUAUUCCGGGGGGCAUGCCUGUCCGAGCGUCAAUGCUGCCCUCAAGCACGGCUUGUGUGUUGGGCCUCCGUCCUCCUCCCGGGGGACGGGCCCGAAAGGCAGCGGCGGCACCGCGUCCGGUCCUCGAGCGUAUGGGGCUUCGUCACCCGCUCUUGUAGGCCCGGCCGGCGCUUGCCGACACAUCAAUCUUUUUUCCAGGUUGACCUCGGAUCAGGUAGGGAUACCCGCUGAACUUAAGCAUAUCAAUAAGCGGAGGA